UACGUAGGGUGCGAGCGUUAAUCGGAAUUACUGGGCGUAAAGCGUGCGCAGGCGGUUUUGUAAGCCAGAUGUGAAAUCCCCGGGCUUAACCUGGGAAUGGCAUUUGGGACUGCAAGGCUUGAGUGCGGCAGAGGAGACUGGAAUUCCUGGUGUAGCAGUGAAAUGCGUAGAUAUCGGGAGGAACACCUGUGGCGAAAGCGGCUCACUGGACCAUAACUGACGCUGAUGCACGAAAGCUAGGGGAGCAAACAGG
rnacentral:rRNA from 1 species